rnacentral:rRNA from 1 species
UGAACGUCAAAUCAUCAUGCCCCUUAUGACCUGGGCUACACACGUGCUACAAUGGCUGGUACAACGAGUCGCAAGUCGGUGACGACAAGCUAAUCUCUUAAAGCCAGUCUCAGUUCGGAUUGUAGGCUGCAACUCGCCUACAUGAAGUCGGAAUCGCUAGUAAUCGCGGAUCAGCACGCCGCGGUGAAUACGUUCCCGGGCCUU